AGUUCGGAGUUGCAGGCUGCAACUCGCCUGCAUGAAGCUGGAAUUGCUAGUAAUCGCGGAUCAGCAAGCCGCGGUGAAUACGUUCCCGGGCCUUGUACACACCGCCCGUCACACCAUGAGAGUCGGGAACACCCGAAGUCCGUAGUCUAACCGCAAGGGGGGCGCGGCCGAAGGUGGGUCCGGUAAUUGGGGUGAAGUCGUAACAAGGUAAC
rnacentral:rRNA from 1 species